UCCGAGUUGACCCCGGCAGUCUCCUAUGAGUCCCCGGCAUGACCCGCUGGCAACAUAGGACGAGGGUUGUGCUCGUUGCGGGACUUAACCCAACAUCUCACGACACGAGCUGACGACAGCCAUGCACCACCUGCACACCAGCCACAAGGGAACGCCUAUCUCUAGACGCGUCUAGUGCAUGUCAAACCCAGGUAAGGUUCUUCGCGUUGCAUCGAAUUAAUCCGCAUGCUCCGCCGCUUGUGCGGGCCCCCGUCAAUUCCUUUGAGCUUUAGCCUUGCGGCCGUACUCCCCAGGCGGGGCGCUUAAUGCGUUAGCUACGGCACAGACCGAACAAAUGCCGACCCACACCUAGCGCCCACCGUUUACAGCAUGGACUAC
rnacentral:misc_RNA from 1 species